rnacentral:misc_RNA from 1 species
GUGAGGCCACCAUCCCCUUCUCUCUCCCUUCUUUCAUCUCCCCUCCCCAUCUGGAUCCUCCGCCGCCGGUUCCCCAUUGCUGCCUCCAUCGCCCCCGCUCCUCGCCGGUUCCCCAUUGCUGCCUCCACCGCCCCCGCUCCUCGUCGGUUCCCCGUUGCUGCCUCCACCGCCCCCGCUCCUUGCUGGUUCCCCAUUGCUGCCUCCACCGCCCCCGCUCCGAGGAGGGCCACGACGGCCGGAUCCUGGACUCGUUGUCGCGCGCCAGGGCAAAGUGAGACCUCUAGUCCUUGUUCCUUGUUGGAUUAUUUGCUUACUGUCAUGCUUCUGGUUUUCAUUUUGGGGGAAUUUUUUGGGGACUAUUUGAUAAACUUGGAGGGUG